CGGAGAGCUUAAAUACUGGACUCAGGCGCCAUAUCGGUCUUUCGGAGCUCGGAGCUAACUUGCGUAAGAUAUGCUGCCGUGGACCUCUCUGGGACCGUUGGCAUCAUACAGACAGUUCUUUGGCAAAGUUGGAUGAAGAGUGAGGAACUAUGAAAGAAGCUGGAUUAACCAUGGGUGUGCACAGUGAUAGGGUGGAAGAACAAGAUGAAAUGGGAGAAGUUGGAGACGGCAGAUGAAUGGGCAAACAUGGCUUGGAGACAGAAUUGGACCAAGUUUUAAACUACUGGUUGCAUGCUUUCAUUUGGAUGGCUUGCUUGGGUAUGAAUGCUUUGCCACCUUACCAGAAGAGUGCAUUGGAGAAGCAGCCCUUAAAUUGACCUUUUAAAUGAAGGUGUCUUCUAUGGCUUUCCCUUGACUGAAGGCACCAGAAAGCUCUUACAUGAAGAUCCUUCAUUCUGAAUUUUCAGGACUCUCAUGGCAGAAAUGGACAGAUUAGCAGUUUCACCUCACUAUUUAAAAGGUGACUGGAUGGAGACUCAGAAGAUUAUACAUCAGGUUGUUUUCCCAUAAGUUAAAUUCAAAAAGUUAAUAAAUGGAAUUGGAAUUAAA